rnacentral:rRNA from 1 species
GGCGGCGCGCUUAACACAUGCAAGUCGCACGAGAAAGGGAGCAAUCCUAAGUAAAGUGGCGCACGGGUGAGUAACACGUGGAUCAUCUACCUUUUAGUGGGGAAUACCUCUGGGAAACCGGAGACAAUACCGCAUAAGCCCGCAAGGGGAAAGCAGCAAUGCGCUGAAAGAGGAGUCCGCGGCCGAUUAGCUAGUUGGCGGGGUAACGGCCCACCAAGGCGAAAAUCGGUAGCCGGCCUGAGAGGGCACACGGCCACACUGGCACUGAAACACGGGCCAGACUCCUACGGGAGGCAGCAGUGGGGAAUCUUGCACAAUGGGCGAAAGCCUGAUGCAGCGACGCCGCGUGAGCGAUGAAGCCCUUCGGGGUGUAAAGCUCUUUCGACGGGAACGAUAAUGACGGUACCCGGAGAAGAAGCUGCGGCUAACUACGUGCCAGCAGCCGCGGUAAUACGUANGCAGCGAGCGUUGUUCGGAAUUACUGGGCGUAAAGAGUGUGUA